CUGCUGCCACCGCUGCUCAGUAGUCCUCGGAGGAGCCAUGAUGAAAAUGGCAUUGCUGUCCCAGCUUGCAAUUGAGAAGCCAAGGCUCAGAGGUGAACUGGCUCAAUCUUCACAGACCCUUGAAGACAAAAUUCCUGUACCAGACCAGCACUGCCAUGAAUCGCCAGCAAGGGGGAUAACUGUCCACCUUCUCCUGAAAACUGGAGGACAAAACAGUAUCCAAUACAAUUUUCUGAGUUGUUACCAUGUCGUAGAUGCCCCCGCCGCUGCUAGCUAACUCAUUUCCGGUUGGCAUUAGUUCUUUGUAGUAGGCAAUAUCAUCUUCAUCUCAUAAAGCAGAAAAUUUUGGUGUCAAAGGUAAAUCUUGUUUUCCUUGCUCUUCAUCUCUAAGAAGUCUUUUUAAAAGAAUCUGUGUAUUAGUACAUGCGUGCAGUAUGGAAUGAUCAUGCUCUGUACAGGGAAUUAGUACACACGCAAACACAUCUUGAUUCACUUUAUAUCCUCUUUCCCUCCCUUUCCUCCUACCUCCCUUUUUCCUCCACCUCUACCUCCCUUUUUCCUUUUCCAUUUUACAAAAGUUCUGUCUCUCUGUUUCCCAUUAUCUUUUAUUUUGCUCUUAUUCAUUUAUGCUUUGGGUUUCUCGUAUAAGAGAAACCAUGCAAUAUUUAAGCACGUGUAUCUGAUUUCACUUAAAUCUUACAGCCAGCUAGACAGCUGUGAGAUAGGAAAAGGAAGUCUAUACGUAACCUUUUCCUCUGACAGCCAGAGGGGUGCUGUUCCAUGAACAGUCCUUACACCCCUGCCCCUGAGGCACUCAACUUCUCACUAGGCCACACUUGCUUCUGCAGCCCCGAGAGUCC
rnacentral:lncRNA from 1 species